GAGAUCCUUGCUUACUGGAGGUCUUGUAAAGGACCCUCAUCCAGAAUAUAGGAUGUACACUGAUGGAGGAAGACAUGUAUUCAAGUAGCCUGUGGUGUGUUGCUGAGAAGAGCCAUGUGUGAGAUGGCUGGAGAGCACAAGAGCACACACCGCAGAGAUGAGCAGAAAAAGGAGAGCCAAAAAAGAACAGUGAAGUCUUCUGGAAGCUGGACUUCUUCACUUCUGAGAAAGAUUUUAAAAUCACUGAAAUGCCAUCUGGGGGUGACAGAGGAUGCCAAGUUGUCUCCGCAGGAGAAACAACAGUAACCAACUGGGCUGCAUUAAGAAGUGAAUGGCUAGCACAUGAAGGCAGGUUGUUAUUCCCCUUUAGUUGGUGCUGGUUAAGCAGUACCUAGAAUAUGGUGUUUUGUUUCACCCACUCCACUUCCUGGCUGUUGAGAAACCAUGGCAGGGGGGCAUGAAGAUGGAAAGGAGCCUAGGGCAUAGUUCCCCACAUAUGCGAGAAGCACUCUGCUUGGUUUUGUAAAGAAAAAAACAUGAUAUGAUCUGAUAGUGGACUACAACCAUUUGAAGGGGAAGUACAAAG